rnacentral:rRNA from 1 species
UUUAACCAGAAAGUCACGGCUAACUACGUGCCAGCAGCCGCGGUAAUACGUAGGUGGCAAGCGUUAUCCGGAUUUAUUGGGCGUAAAGAGAGUGCAGGCGGUUUUCUAAGUCUGAUGUGAAAGCCUUCGGCUUAACCGGAGAAGUGCAUCGGAAACUGGAUAACUUGAGUGCAGAAGAGGGUAGUGGAACUCCAUGUGUAGCGGUGGAAUGCGUAGAUAUAUGGAAGAACACCAGUGGCGAAGGCGGCUACCUGGUCUGCAACUGACGCUGAGACUCGAAAGCAUGGGUAGCGAACAGGAUUAGAUACCCUGGUAG